UGAGAGGUAUUGGUGGGAGCCUGGGCCUGUGUGCUCUUGGACCUCACUCCCCUCCAGCCUCCUGUGCCUGCGGGACAAAGGGGCUCUUCCCUAGAUGGGGCAGGAAUCCAGCUCCAGCAUUCACAACCCAGGGAGGACAGACAGCAGGCCAGAAUCUCACACCUCGAUGGCGCGGGCAACCUGGCUCAGGGGACUUCAAGGCAUCUUCCUUCUGCCCCUGGUCACAGCACAUCCACUGACCCUCACAACAGCAUCUGAGAACCUUCCCUUCACAGAAGAGGAAAACCGGGUCUCAGACUCUCUCUCAAGUCCACACACCCGGUGUGUCUCAAACUGUUUCCCGAAUCAUCAACUUCUUGAGUGUUCAGGGCCACUUACAGGCUGAGGACACUUCCAGAAUGGCUCUGAGAUGCGAACCCCAGGGCACAGAGCUGAGAACAUCCAAUACAUUCCCGGUUCAGUUCAACAUAAGGAAGCCUGCUCCCCGCCAUGAGGAAAAGGAAGACGGCCAAAAGGGAACUUCCACCAUCUGAUUAAUUGCAGCCUGCCGAUAAGAAUGGUGUUCCCAGAAAACAGCUCUGCAAGCCCUUCUUCCUGGCAAUCCCUUAGCAGCUAGAAGACCUUUCUCUUUUUGGGUCCAGACAAACCCCUGAGUUCCUGCAAUACUAGAGAGUACCUGCUUAGGCACUUGCUAUACCUCGAGCUUUUGGACGGGGUCUCCAAAAGAAGCCUAUGCCUGCUCUGUGAAUAAAGUGUACACAAGUCAAA